rnacentral:rRNA from 1 species
AUUGAACGCUGGCGGCAUGCCUUACACAUGCAAGUCGAACGGUAACGGGCCUUCGGGUGCCGACGAGUGGCGAACGGGUGAGUAAUGUAUCGGAACGUACCUUUCAGUGGGGGAUAACGUAGCGAAAGUUACGCUAAUACCGCAUAUUCUGUGAGCAGGAAAGCAGGGGAUCGCAAGACCUUGCGCUGAUUGAGCGGCCGAUUUCAGAUUAGCUAGUUGGUGAGGUAAAGGCUCACCAAGGCGGCGAUCUGUAGCGGGUCUGAGAGGAUGAUCCGCCACACUGGAACUGAGACACGGUCCAGACUCCUACGGGAGGCAGCAGUGGGGAAUUUUGGACAAUGGGGGCAACCCUGAUCCAGCCAUGCCGCGUGAGUGAAGAAGGCCUUCGGGUUGUAAAGCUCUUUCGGCCGGGAAGAAAUCGUAUCAGCUAAUACCUGGUGCGGAUGACGGUACCGGCAUAAGAAGCACCGGCUAACUACGUGCCAGCCGCCGCAGUAAAAC